CGUUUACGUAAGAAAUUGUUGUUAAAAUUGUCAAUUGGAUCUUAAGAAACUCAUAGAAACUUUAUUAGAAUCGCCGGUAGCGCUGUUGUGUAAUUAACAGCUGUUUGUUGACGACGUGAAGUUAAAAUUGAACAACGGUUUGCUUGAAAAACAUUCAAUGAAGGUCGUGACGUCAUCGAAGAUUUGCUUCAAACCAGUGGUUCAUCCACUUCUGCUAUAGUCGAUAACAUCGAAAAAAUGUAAGAAAUAGUGCUUAAAAGUCGUUGUGUUGGCACCAGAGGCUUUCAACAUCUCUUAUAGAUCGACUCCAAAAAUUUUGGUUAAUGUUUUGGGUAUGGUGUGCAUUCAAUGACAGUCUGGUACGAAAAUACCUGAAUCUUUUGCGAAAACCACGUGGAGAAGAGGCUGAAGACCUUACAUUAUUCAAACACAUCGUUGCUGGUGUCGAGUCUAGUGAGCAGAGGGAAUGGAAUGCGCGGCAAAAAUUAGCGCAAGCCGAAAAAAAAACAAAAUUCGUUAAAGGCCAUCUCAACCAGGACAUUAAACAAGUGUAUGGAAAAUAAUAGCAGUGUUACUCGCUCGAGAGUCUAUAUUGAAGGCGACAAUAAAGAUUUGUACAUAAAUACGGUUUUUUUGUCAGUCCAGGUGAACUUUAAUCAAAUGGUAUUAUUAAUAUAUGAUUGAUUUUUUUUAGAUUGUUUUGAUUUUUUCACCGAUAAUGAUUAAUUUUUCGUAAUUCUAUAAUUACAUUUUAGCAAAACUAAUGUCUAAAAGAAGAUCAUAUUUAUAUUUUAGUUUUUUGUUUGCUCAAAAUAAAACUCGCUAUAUAUGUAAUUACAUAUAUUUUUGAAGUUUUUUUUUUAACUUUUGUUGCAUAUUAUUUUAGAACAAAUGUAAAGCAUGACACAAUUCCGAUUUCUUUGGCGCCGCGAUUUGAAGGUACCUUUGGAAAGAGGAAGUCCUCCUGAUUAAAAAAUAUAUAGGGUUAUAGGUACCGCAAACGCUUAGUUUACGAGAUAUUCGACCUUAAAGUUCAAAAAUUCCCAAAAUUCGAACAUUUCAACAAGCUAUUUUACCACAUUAAACACACUUUACUCACAUUUUUCAUUUCAAAUUAAUUAAAUUAAACUAUAAACUUUUAAAUAAAUCCAUAUUUUACACUUUUAACAGUCUUUUUACCGAGGAAAUCUUUAUUUUAGAAAUUACAUCUUACACUCGUAGUGAACAUCAUGUGUGUGCUAAAAAUUACGACGAAAUGGAGCGCUGCCAUGUGAUAAUAAGGAAAUUGUUCUUUAUUUAAUUUAAUAAACAAAUAAGCAAUAUUAUAUAAUAAUAUUAUAUACAUAUACAAUAAACAUCACCUAAUAUACAAAAAAACGUAUUAUCAAAAAUAAAUGGUAAGCGCUGACAGAUAUAAUAACCAAAAUUUAACCAUUUUAUAACGAAAACUCAAAUAUUGUUUCAAUAUCAGUGCAAGAUAACCAAAAAAUAUAACCACUUUAUAACGAAACUCAA